GAUUAAGCAUCAUUUAUUUCUAAUUAUUUAUUUGAGUAUUAUAUUUUUUAUCUAUUUAAUUAAUUAACGAAUGUAGGUAUUUAUUUACGUAUGUUUUUAUUUUUAUUUGGAAAUGCAAUUUAUGUGGAAAAUUGUUAAGUUGAUUUCAACCAGUCAACGCCACUCUGAUUUGCUGAGACCGCACGUCAUCAUAAACUCCACUCUGAUAUGCCGAGGCAAAACACGCUAAACAUUUUUUGGCUGCUGCAGUAGCUCAGCUCAGCUCAGCUCAUUCAGUUCAGCUCGCUCAGCUCAGCUCCGCUCCGGACCGGACUCAGCUGCCAAGCUAUAAGAUGGAGUCAUGAAAUGUGACGGGACAGCCACCGAGGACUUCAUACUUCGGAGCAUCUCAAACAUGCACCACAAAGACGUGGAGGACACACCGCUGUCUCUCAGGACCUAGAAUCUUAAUGAAAGUAUAAUGAUGUUAAGGGAAGGUGUAAUGGAAAGGUGUAAUGUAAAGUUGUAAUGGUGUUAAGGGAAGGUGUAGUGGAAAGGUGUGAUAGUGUUGAGGGAAGGUGUAAUGUUAAAGGUGUGAUAGUGUUGAGGGAAGGUGUAAUAGUGUUGAGGGAAGGGGUAAUGUUAAAGGUGUAAUAGUGUUGAGGGAAGGGGUAAUGUUAAAGGUGUAAUAGUGUUAAGGGAAGGUAUAAUAUUGUUAAGGGAAGGUGUAAUGCAGGGGUCUCAAACUCAUUUUUGCCGAGGGCCACAUUGACAUAUUGGCUGUCCUCUGAGGGCCAGAUGUAACUUACAAAUAUAAGAAAAUGUAACCAGAUGUAAUAUAAAAUGAAUGUAAUUACUCCUUAAUGUUAAAUAACUCUCAAUAUACUAUUUAUUCAAUCAAAUAUUACAGUUGCAUGGAAAAAUGUUUGCUUGUUGCUCUAUUAACAUAAAUCCUUUUAAUUUGUCAUGUUAUGAAAUCCAAAAACUCCAUCAAUCAAGAACCAAACUAUUCAAGUGAAUAGAAAUUACAUCAAGUACAAGUUAUAUUAACUUUGAUCAAAACGUUUGAUACUGAAAUAAGGCUUAAUAUAUAUAAAAUAAAAAAUUGUGAGCUGUGACAGAUUUAGCAUUUCCUCAGAUUUAGCAGUUCCUCAUCCAACCACUAGUCGGAGCUGCAGCUGCAGCACCACAAGCCCGCAGUCUUUGCUUAGUCAGAGCUACAGCCCAGCCACGGGCUACAGGACUCAGCUGAGCCUGUCUGGAGCGUUAUGAAAUUUGUUAAGUUCUUCUGUGUAUGAAAUAAAAUAACCCCACUAACUGGAUAAUACAGCUCUCUACAGUUCAUCUUUCAGCCCAAGCAGCUAACAGCAGCAGUUUAGAGCAGCGUCACGGAGGCACUGCUGGGAUUACAUUAUAAACAGGUCAGUUAGCGCGCUGCUAACCUCAGGAUGUUUAUAACUACGGAGUUUAGUGGACACACCACGGCAGCAAGGUUAGACUGUUGAAGGCUACUGAAGACUACUAAAGCAGGCAACGCAGCGUAAGCAAAAAAAAAAAAAAAACCACACACACACACCAAAAUACAAGUUAAGAUAAAAUAUGAAAACGAACAUAAUAAAGCAUAAAUAAUUAAACUGAAUUGCGGGCCAGAUGUAUGUUUAUUUUGUUAACCCGUGAGGGGCCGUAUGAAACCGCGUGGGCCGGUACUGAGACCCCUGGUGUAAUGUAAAGGUGUAAUAGUGUUGAGGGAAGGUAUAAUAUUGUUAAGGGAAGGUGUAAUGUUAAAGGUGUAAUAGUUUUGAGGGAAGGUGUAAUAGUGUUAAGGGAAGGUAUAAUAUUGUUAAGGGAAGGUGUAAUGUAAAGGUGUAAUAGUGUUGAGGGAAGGUAUAAUAUUGUUAAGGGAAGGUGUAAUGUAAAGCUGUAAUAGUUUUAAGGGAAGGUAAAUGUUUAGUGAAAUUGUUAUGGUGUGAAUCUAAGGUGUAUGUUAUGUUGAUGUAAAAUAAAGGCAUUAACCCCAAAUGA